rnacentral:rRNA from 1 species
UACGGAGGGGGCUAGCGUUGUUCGGAAUUACUGGGCGUAAAGCGCACGUAGGCGGCCUUGUAAGUUAGAGGUGAAAGCCCGGGGCUCAACUCCGGAAUUGCCUUUAAGACUGCAUCGCUAGAAUUGUGGAGAGGUAAGUGGAAUUCCGAGUGUAGAGGUGAAAUUCGUAGAUACUCGGAAGAACACCAGUGGCGAAGGCGACUUACUGGACACAUAUUGACGCUGAGGUGCGAAAGCGUGGGGAGCAAACAGG